rnacentral:rRNA from 1 species
AACUAGGAUUAGAUACCCUAUUAUAUGAGCCGUAAAACAACCUAACACCCGAGAACUACGAGCUAAGGUUUAAAACUCAAAGGACUUGGCGGUCUUUUAGAUCUUCCUGGAGGAGCUUGCCAUCAAACCGAUAACCCACGAAAAACCUCACCAACCUUUGAACACUCAGCCUGUAUACCAUCUGGUCGUCAGUCUACCCUACAAAGGAAGUAUACCUAAAGAACCAUUCUUCACCACGUCAGAUCGAGGUGCAGUUUAUAGGUUGGGGAUGAGUGAGCUACAAUAUUUUACCAGACUAAAACAUAACUAUGGACAAUUCACUGAAAAGUAAAUUUAAAAUAGGAUUCAGCAGUAAUGUUUAAUAGAAAAUAAACAUGAAAACCCCCUAAGCUCUAAAAUGCGCACACAUCGCCCGUCCGCUCUUA